AGGGAAAGGUGAAAAGAACCCCGGGAGGGGAGUGAAAUAGAACAUGAAACCCUAUGUUUACAAGCAGACAAAGCACUUUAUAUGUGCGAUGUCGUACUUUUUGUAGAACGGUCCAGCGAGUUAUUGUGUAUGGCGAGGUUAAGUAUUACGUAAGGUACGGAGCCGAAGCGAAAGCGAGUCUGAAAAGGGCGAUAUAAGUCAUGCAUAAUAGACCCGAAACUGAGUGACCUAUCCAUGAGCAGGAUGAAGCUAGAGUAAAAUCUAGUGGAGGUCCGAACUGAUUGUCGUUAAAAAGGCACCGGAUGACUUGUGGAUAGCGGAGAAAUUCCAAUCGAACUCAGAGAUAGCUGGUUCUCCUCGAAAUAGCUUUAGGGCUAGCCUUGAGGGAAUGCAUAUGGGGGUAGAGCACUGAAUGAGGUAGGGGCCUAACCAGGUUACCAAACUCUAUCAAACUCCGAAUACCAUAUGUAAAUACUCAGGAGUCAGACUGCGGGAGCUAAGUUCCGUGGUCAAAAGGAAAACAGUCCAGAUCGUCAAUUAAGGUCCCAAAGAUAUAGCUAAGUGGAAAACGAUGUGAUUUUGCAUAAACAACCAGGAUGUUGGCUCAGAAGCAGCCAUUCAUUCAAAGAGUGCGUAAUAGCUCACUGGUCGAGUGAAGUUGCGCGGAAAAUUACCGGGGCUAAGCUAUACACCGAAAUUGCGGAUUUACAUUUGAAAGAUAAUGUAAGUGGUAGAGGAGCAUUCUGUAGUAGGAUGAAGCAUGACCGUAAGGACAUGUGGACGAAGCAGAAGAGAGAAUGCUGGAAUAAGUAGCGAGAGGAUGGUGAGAAUCCAUCCCGUCGAAAAUCUAAGGUUUCCCAGGGAAGGUUCGUCCGCCUGGGGUAAGUCGGGACCUAAGGAGAGGCCGAAAGGCGUAUCUGAUGGAUAGCAGGUUGAAAUUCCUGCACUACGAAUAUACUUAAAAGAUUCAAGGGACGCAGAAGUGGAAGAUAACCAAGUAAGAGGAAAAGCUUGGCUCGCAAGAGGGAGUGAAAAUUAAAAGUAACGAAGUAUCAAGAAGCACGCUGACGAGAAAAGCUUGAAGAUAUUGUAUAUAAGUACCCGUACCGCAAACCGACACAGGUAGAUGAGGAGAGGAUCCUAAGACGAGCGGGAGAAGCAUUGUUAAGGAACUCGGCAAAUUAACCCCGUAACUUCGGAAUAAGGGGUGCUGAUGUAACAGUCAGUCGCAGAGAAAAGGCCCAAGCAACUGUUUAACAAAAACAUAGGUUUCUGCUAAAUCGAAAGAUGAAGUAUAGGAGCUGACGCCUGCCCAGUGCUGGAAGGUUAAGGGAAAGAGUUAGGGUUAAACCGAAGCUUAGAACUGAAGCCCCAGUGAACGGCGGCCGUAACUAUAACGGUCCUAAGGUAGCGAAAUUCCUUGUCAGGUAAGUUCUGACCCGCACGAAAGGCGUAAUGAUUUGGGCGCUGUCUCGACAAUGUCCCCGGCGAAAUUGUAGUACUAGUGAAGAUGCUAGUUACCUGCGAUAAGACAGAAAGACCCCAUGGAGCUUUACUGCAGUUUGAUACUGGGUUUCGAUGAUUUAUGUACAGGAUAGUUGGGAGACUAUGAAAGAGAGGCGUCAGCUUCUCCGGAGUCGUUGUUGGGAUACCAACCUUAAGUUAUUGAAAUUCUAACUUGUAAUCGUAAACCGGUUAGAGGACAAUGUCAGACGGGCAGUUUGACUGGGGCGGUCGCCUCCUAAAGAGUAACGGAGGCGCCCAAAGGUUUCCUCAGCGCGGACAGAAAUCGCGCGAAAGAGUGCAAAGGCAGAAGGAAGCUUAACUGAGAGACAGACAUGUCGACCAGAUACGAAAGUAGGGCUUAGUGAUCCGGUGGUUGUAAAUGGAAAUGCCAUCGCUCAACGGACAAAAGUUACCCUGGGGAUAACAGGCUUAUCUCCCCCAAGAGUUCACAUC
rnacentral:rRNA from 1 species